rnacentral:rRNA from 1 species
AUACGGAGGGUGCAAGCGUUACUCGGAAUCACUGGGCGUAAAGAGCGUGUAGGCGGGUUAAUAAGUUGGAAGUGAAAUCCUAUGGCUCAACCAUAGAACUGCUUUCAAAACUGUUGACCCAGAAUAUGGGAGAGGUAGAUGGAAUUUCUGGUGUAGGGGUAAAAUCCGUAGAGAUCAGAAGGAAUACCGAUUGCGAAGGCGAUCUACUGGAACAUUAUUGACGCUGAGACGCGAAAGCGUGGGGAGCAAACAGGAUUAGAAACCCCAGUAGUCC